GACGAACGCUGGCGGCGUGCUUAACACAUGCAAGUCGAACGGAAAGGCCCUGCUUUUGUGGGGUGCUCGAGUGGCGAACGGGUGAGUAACACGUGAGUAACCUGCCCUUGACUUUGGGAUAACUUCAGGAAACUGGGGCUAAUACCGGAUAGGAGCUCCUGCUGCAUGGUGGGGGUUGGAAAGUUUCGGCGGGUGGGGAUGGACUCGCGGCUUAUCAGCUUGUUGGUGGGGUAGUGGCUUACCAAGGCUUUGACGGGUAGCCGGCCUGAGAGGGUGACCGGCCACAUUGGGACUGAGAUACGGCCCAGACUACUACGGGAGGCAGCAGUGGGGAAUAUUGCACAAUGGGCGGAAGCCUGAUGCAGCAACGCCGCGUGCGGGAUGACGGCCUUCGGGUUGUAAACCGCUUUCGCCUGGGACGAAGCGUGAGUGACGGUAAUGGGUAAAGAAGCACCGGCUAACUACGUG
rnacentral:rRNA from 1 species